GGAAGGGGUGUAUUUAUUAGAUAAAAAACCAACGCCCUUCGGGGCUUCUUGGUGAUUCAUGAUAACUUCACGGAUCGCAUGGCCUUGCGCCGGCGACGGUUCAUUCAAAUUUCUGCCCUAUCAACUUUCGAUGGUAAGGUAUUGGCUUACCAUGGUUUCAACGGGUAACGGGGAAUUAGGGUUCGAUUCCGGAGAGGGAGCCUGAGAAACGGCUACCACAUCCAAGGAAGGCAGCAGGCGCGCAAAUUACCCAAUCCCGACACGGGGAGGUAGUGACAAUAAAUACUGAUACAGGGCUCUUUUGGGUCUUGUAAUUGGAAUGAGUACAAUUUAAACCUCUUAACGAGGAACAAUUGGAGGGCAAGUCUGGUGCCAGCAGCCGCGGUAAUUCCAGCUCCAAUAGCGUAUAUUAAAGUUGUUGCAGUUAAAAAGCUCGUAGUUGAAACUUGGGCCUGGCUGGCGGGUCCGCCUCACCGCGUGCACUCGUCCGGCCGGGCCUUCCUUCUGAAGAACCUCAUGCCCUUCACUGGGCGUGCUGGGGAACCAGGACUUUUAC
rnacentral:rRNA from 1 species